GACGAACGCUGACGGCGUGCUUAACACAUGCAAGUCGAACGGAAAGGCCCUGCUUUUGUGGGGUGCUCGAGUGGCGAACGGGUGAGUAACACGUGAGUAACCUGCCCUUGACUUUGGGAUAACUUCAGGAAACUGGGGCUAAUACCGGAUAGGAGCUCCUGCUGCAUGGUGGGGGUUGGAAAGUUUCGGCGGUUGGGGAUGGACUCGCGGCUUAUCAGCUUGUUGGUGGGGUAGUGGCUUACCAAGGCUUUGACGGGUAGCCGGCCUGAGAGGGUGACCGGCCACAUUGGGACUGAGAUACGGGCCAGACUCCUACGGGAGGCAGCAGUGGGGAAUAUUGCACAAUGGGCGGAAGCCUGAUGCAGCAACGCCGCGUGCGGGAUGACGGCCUUCGGGUUGUAAACCGCUUUCGCCUGUGACGAAGCGUGAGUGACGGUAAUGGGUAAAGAGGCACCGGCUAACUACGUG
rnacentral:rRNA from 1 species